UGUGAUUCAAUGGUAGAGAGUGUUAUAAGGGCCACUCAAUCUGAGACUGCUUAUUUGUCUCUGUUAAACAGUAAAAAGAUCCAGUGAAUCGGCUGCUUGCUGUCCCGUGUCUGUUUCUGAAUCCACACAACGUAACACAACGCAGACCAAGUUUUAAUACCCGGUGUCGCUGGCCGCUCAUCACGCUGGGCAUAAGCAAGCCACACGGGUCACACAUAUAUUUAGCAAAAUGCUCUCAAAGUUCAUUUUUGUAGCUGACAUUAGUUUUUCGACAUUGAACGGCUUUUCUGAGGUAGGCUAAAUGUGACAUUUUUACAAGCUGUUUCAUUGAUGCCUUUCUGAUCAAUUGACCCUUCGCAGGGAGUUUGAUUGACAAGAGAUCUAACCAAUCAGAACAUUGAAUCCACCAUUUUGUCCGACAAAGCAGUCUGGAGUUAGAAG